rnacentral:lncRNA from 1 species
GUGGCAUGGGUUUUAGGAUGGCGGCAUCCUUCUUGGCGUGUAGAAACUCUAGGUUUUUAGGGUUUGGGCAUUGGGAUUUUGGGAAGAGAGAAGGGUUCUCAAAUAUCUUCCACCACCUCUUCUUCCUCCUAGAGUCUUCUUCUUCUCUGGAGGAGUCCGAGAGAUCUGAAGAAGGUGACGGACCUACCAUCAAGAGGAGUCUUCUGCAAGGAAGCUAGCACCCCAGUGA